GUGGGGGGGGCCUUAAAGGGUCCGCGCCCCGUGCGAAUCCGCCCCGCACAGCUGCGGCCGGGUAGUUUUGGCAGGAUCCUUUCCGAUGUCUGACAGCUCAGCCUGAAAAGUGCCCCAGAGAGUCGGCAGACAAGGUUCUUUGGCAAUCGUUUUUCAGAAAAUACAAUCAUUUGAGCUUCCAGCACGAUAAUGCUGUGUUUCAGACCUGCCUUGGAGUCUCGGGCCAGCAGAGACUCUUUAUGUCUGACAACGGGGGAUUGCGCCCGAAAGCUUGCCAAGAACUUUUUUCCAGCCACUCGGUUGAUCUAAUGAAAGAGAUCACACCUACCCAAAGAGCUGUAACUGCCUAUAUUUAAGACCUGGCAAAGCUGAUCCCACACAACCACCAUCUAAGCUACGUGACGCGAGACAACAGACCUAACAUGGGAGCCAGGGCAGCCCACGUCCUCAUGAACGCUGCAUGCCCCCCGGAGGCUGGGGCGGGGCACGGCGACCACCCACAGGCGGUGGCAGCGGUGGUGGCAGCAGGGGCCUGGCAGUGAGCGGGGAGCUCCCACAGGCAGCCACGGCGGUGUCGGCAGGGUAGGGGGGGUGACAAGUUGGUGACCGCCUGCAGCCGGCACUGAUAGUGGUGGCGGCAAGGGAGGUGUGGCGAGUGGUGACCGUCUGCAGGUGCUGCUGGCGCUUUUUGCAGGGGGUGCACCGCCAAGCUCAGGGGGCGCAUGUGCACCCACGUGCACCCCUUAUGCAUCACCAGUGCAUCCUGCUUCUCUCAAAUGCUGUCCAUAUAUGUUUGGGAGGUCCCAUAAACCCUUAUCGUGUCCCCACUCAAGCAUCUCUUUUCUCAGCUGAAUCAGCCUGGCCUUUUUAGCUUCUCCUCUUAUGGAGGCCCCUCCAUACCACUCAGCAUCCUUGUUGCCCUUCUUUGGACCUUCUCUACUUCUUCUAUACGUAGGUGCUGACUUGUAUUUUUGCCAGGGUGGGGGCUGAGAUGAUGGAAACGUGGAAAGUUUUUUUGCAUUUCUGGUGACAGCCCUCUUCCUGAGGGUGGCUCGGGCCCCCAUGCACUUGGCACCUCUGCUUCUAUAUCCUUUCUGAAGUGUGGAGACCCAAACUAGACACUGCAUUCAAGGUGUCUUGAAGCUUUUCAGCCUGAAGCACAUGCAAGACAUUUCUGCCUCCCAGCCCGAGUACAGCUUCACCACAUAGUAGUACUUAAAUCCCCCCAAAACCCUGAAUUUGGCCGAAUUUCCAUACCUGGUGUCACCUGGGGAGGGGGGGGGGUCAGUGAAGAAUGGGCUGGUAUUGAGUGAUCUUGUUUACAUGUAAAGCAAGUCAUACAUCCUGAUUAGGAAAGGAGAGGAAGAGUUGAUGAAGAGUGAUGAUCAGAUAUCUUUUCACAUGAAAAAUCAGACUGUACCUAUGCUAAUAUAGUGCUUUCCAUUUUGCCACAAGGCUUGAAAGGGCCUAAGUCAGACCUGAUAGAUAUUCCAGUAGCCUAGGAGGUAGAUGUGCACACACGCACACGCAAUUAUGUCUGAGAAGGCAUAGUGUGAAUGUGAGAGCUGCCCACCCUAGGAGAGGGGAGUUUAAUCUAAUGCAGAUACACCAAAAUGGGAGGGAGGGUUAGAGCCAUCAACCAUGCCAGGGAUGGGGAACAUGAGGAGAGAGGAUGCCAGAGCUUCCCAGGUGGCACAGACCACGGAGAACGCGCUCUGUCCAGGGCCCUGGUCUGAUCGUGCUGAAAGUAACACGAAAUGAGGUGAAGGUGGUGAGGAGUCAUCACUGAUUCCCUCUCCCCAGGAGACACCAGGGGAGGGGAGUGGAAACUCAGCCAGGUGCAGAAGAUUCAGGGCUUUUUUAGGAACAAAGUCCUACAGUGAAGCCACACUGGGGCUGGGAGAAAGAAAUGUCUUGCAUGUGCUUCAGGCAGAAGAACUUCAAGAUUCUUGGUAUGAUGGAAAUUAAAGGCCGUCAUCUUUUUCUAAUCUGAUCUACUUUGAAAGUUCCUCCAUUUUUAAGGCUUCAUUGUAAGGCACUCCAGCUUCAGUUAUUGCUAUUAGAUAUUCCAUGACUGUUCAGUAGAUUUUUAAGUCACUAUGCAUUAAUUUACAAUCUGCUACCUACAAUCUGUAUGAUGUGACUGACACAUUAUCUACUAAUUGCGAUGUUCAUUGCUGUGAUUCAUCUAACCACCCAAUUAAUUCAAUUUAGAAGACAAUAAUUCUAUCAACAACAAUAAGCAUUGAAUCUCGGGGGGGGGGGGGAGUCUAACCCAGUAAUUCUGGCGUUAAGCAGCUGCUGAUUGAUUUUUGAUAUACAAUAGUUCAAACAAAUUUGCCUGCAUGCCCAUCCCCAACCUGCCUUAAGAAGUUAAUUACAGAGAGGUUGAAACAAUGGAAACAAACCAAAGUGCACAUUCAUGGCACUCCAUCUCCUGAACCUCAUUUCAUAUACAGUGUGAGGUGACUUCUUCUGAAUCUAGUCCAGUGAAAAUAAGCGAUCUGUAAGGUUGCUUCAUGUCUGAAAAAAUGAAAGACAGUUUCAUAAGGGCUGUGUAGCCAGGACGUUGGAUAAAGCCUAGAGCUGUUAUCACAUAUUCAAAAGUUAGAGAUGGGGCGGGGGGAAUAGGUCCCAUCCAGUCCAUCUCCAGCCCAGUUCAGUGUUAUUCCCUAUGGUAUAUUUUUAGUGGUCUGUUCACUUGGGCUGUAAGUGAUGCAUUCAACAGACCUUUUGUUACUUCUUUGGGGAAACUGUUCCCUGUUGUAAGAGAUUUUUAUCAGUUUGAAGAUUGCAGCGGGACUGCAGGAUUUUCUUGAUGAAUGGGUUGUUACCGAGUGGCCUUGUUUACAUAUAAAGUGAGUCAUGUAUCCUGAUUAGGAAAGGAGAGGAAGAGUUGAUGAAGAGUGAUUAUCAGAUAUCUUUUCACAUGACAAAUCAGACUAUAACUAUGCUAAUAUAGCGCUUUCCAUUUUGUCACCAGACUCGAAGAGGCCUGAGUAAGUCAGACCUGACAGACUUUCCAGUAGCACCUGGGUGAGGCGCUCUCAUGGCACAAAUGGGAAAUUACCAGCCCAUUUGAGCAAGAUGUGUCUACAGUCACUGCUUACACUAGCUGUUCUACAUUGGUAAAACAUUGCUAAGUUAACCAUGAACAUCGUGUGUCUGUCUGUCCCUAAUGCUUUUGGGCAGCUGUGCAUGCACGGUUUUAAACUUGGCACAUUUGUCUCCCCAGCAGGGAGACAAAAACGGUGCCAAGUUAAAAAACGUGGCUUUUGCAGUUGCUUCUCUGCAGCUAGGAGGGGCCCCUCCCCCAAUGGGGCUGGGGGCAGGUUGGGGCUGGGCCAGCCAGGAGUGCAGCACAGCGCCACGCGGGGAGGGGCAGGGAGGCAGGAGCUGCGCUGCGCUGUGCUGUGCAGCAAGGCAGGUAGCGGCCCCCAACAUUCACCUUGGCCUCCAGAGCUGCCCCUCCCAGAAUGGCCACCCACACAAGAGGGGGCGCGGGGCUCCUGGCCUGAGCCGGCCCGGCCCGUGCACGUGUGCGGCUGCAGGGACACAGCCGGCAGCAGCUUCCUCCUGGGUGGUGCAAUAGGGGCUGCAGGCAGCUGCAGGAGAGGGAGGGGAAGGGAUGUGGCUGGGUGGUGAGUGUGCAUCUGUCUGUCUGCGUGCACGUCUGCAUCUGCGUACGAGUGCUUGUGUGUGCAUCUCUGCAUGAGUGCUUAUCUGUGUACAUGUGUGUGUCUAUGUGCAUGCAUCUGUGCAUCUGUGUGUGCAUCUGCAUCUGUUUGUCUGUGUGUGUACGUCAGGGCAUGUGUGGCACACCUUGACUGCACAAGGCCGGGGUGAUGUCACACGGAUGAUAUAAAGUGAGCCAGGCUGGUUUGGGGAGAGAGAAGCUGCCAGGGGCUGCUGAAGAAUGAAGUCUCGUUCAAGGGAGAAAGAGUUUGCAGAUAGUAAAAGGGGAAACUCAGGUAGAGGAGAGAGAGAUGGAGAAUUGUCCUAGUGCUGAGAACUCCUCUUUCCUCCUUUUCUUUCCCCAUUUCUCAGGUUUUAAGGGAGUAAUACCAGGGAGGAGGGUAUUGAUUUCUUGGGUUGGCUGGCUAGGAAUUAGGCCUGGUGUUUUAAACAGGGUUGAAACCUAGGAGUUGCUAAUCCUGCCAGUUUUGGGCCAGAGUUGAGGUUUGCAACUUUCUGCUCCCAGUGGAGCUCUGUGACCCAAACUACUUGCAAAACCCAUUUGGCAGGUAAUAUGGGUCACUACCCCUAGGGGGUAGGCCUGGUUUUUCCCCUUUGUUUCUUGUGAUAAUCCUUUGCUCCACUCAAGCUGUGUGGUUGGGCCAGCUGUAGCCAGUAAUCAACCUGGAUCCCUUUUGAGUUUGUCCUGCAGUUUUCAUUUUAGUAGGCUAUAUAAUCCAGCCCAGAAGUUUUGGGGUGCAUGCAUGUUGGCUAGAGCCAUAGUCACCCUUCCCACACACAGCUUCUCCAUGGGAGCGAAGAUCGGCACUCUUCCCCUUCUCCAGGACCAACGGAGUCCCUUGCAGUGCUGAAGGACCCACAGUCUCGAGCAGCUCCCCGCGGCGCACUGAGCCCAAGGAGCAGCUCAUAGGACUCUCUGUUGCGGGCCCCCCUCUCCAGCCCAUUGCUGAAGGGCAGGUAGCGGGGUGCAGGCCCCUGGAACUACCCAUUGGGGAGCCCCAAGUCCCAAACUGCCCGGGCAUGGGUGAAGUGUCUCCCAAGAGGGUGCCACCUUUAGACUUUGCUUUGUAGUUAAUAGUGUUUUAAAAUAAUAUUUAGUGUUUUCUUUUGUUUUUUUUUUAUUCUCUGUAAUAAAUUUGGACUUUUGUAUUUACA